GCCCGAUGAUCAUCGGUGGUCUGCGUGUGCGGGCUUCAAACCCGUAGCUGAUGAGAGUCAGAGUGGUUCGAUUCCACCUUCUGGGGUG